GACGAACGCUGGCGGCGUGCUUAACACAUGCAAGUCGAGCGAUGAAGUUCCUUCGGGAAUGGAUUAGCGGCGGACGGGUGAGUAACACGUGGGUAACCUGCCUCAUAGAGGGGAAUAGCCUUUCGAAAGGAAGAUUAAUACCGCAUAAGAUUGUAGUAUUGCAUGAUACAGCAAUUAAAGGAGUAAUCCGCUAUGAGAUGGAACCGCGUCGCAUUAGCUAGUUGGUGAGGUAACGGCUCACCAAGGCGACGAUGCGUAGCCGACCUGAGAGGGGGAUCGGCGACAUUGGGACUGAGACACGGCCCAGACUCCUCCGGGGGGCAGCAGUGGGGAAUAUUGCACAAUGGUGGAAACCCUGAUGCAGCAACGCCGCGUGAGUGAUGACGGUCUUCGGAUUGUAAAACUCUGUCUUCAGGGACGAUAAUGACGGUACCUGAGGAGGAAGCCACGGCUAACUACGUGCCAGCCGCCGCGGUAA
rnacentral:rRNA from 1 species